AAUAAAAUUGAGAAUGGAAAUGGGGAAUGUGCCAAAGAGACAACAACCCGACCAUUGAAAAAAAACAACAGCAGAAGGUCACCAACAGGUCUUCAAUGUAGCGAGAAAUUCCCGCACCCAGAGGCGUCCUUCAGCUGGACCCUAAACAAAUAUAUACUAGUUCAGUGAUAAUGAACGCCAUACUAAUUUCCAAAUUGUACACAAGAAACUAAAAUUAAAAUAAUACAAGACUAACAAAGGCCAGAGGCUCCUGACUUGGGACAGGCGCAAAAAUGCGGCGGGGUUAAACAUGUUUGUGAGAUCUCAACCCUCUCCCUAUACCUCUAGCCAAUGUAGAAAAGUAAACGCAUAACAAUACGCACAUUAAAAUUCAGUCCAAGAGAAGUCCGAGUCUGAUGUCAGAAGAUGUAACCAAAGAAAAUAAACAAAAUGACAAUAAUACAUAAAUAACAACAGACUACUAGCAGUUAACUGACAUGCCAGCUCCAGACUU
rnacentral:lncRNA from 1 species